rnacentral:rRNA from 1 species
CACGUAGUUAGCCGGAGCUUCCUCCUUAGGUACUGUCCUUUUUCUUCCCUAACGACAAUAGUCUACAAUCCGAAGACCUUCUUCCUAUACGCGGCGUCACUGCGUCAGAGUUUCCUCCAUUGCGCAAUAUUCCCGACUGCUGCCUCCCGUAGGAGUCUGGGCCGUAUCUCAGUCCCAAUGUGGCCGUUCAACCUCUCAGUCCGGCUACUGAUCGUUGACUUGGUAGGCCGUUACCCCACCAACUAUCUAAUCAGACGCGAGCCCAUCUAUUAGCGGAUUACUCCUUUCCCACUUCCAUCAUGUGAUGAUUAUGGCAUAUGCGGUAUUAGCAAUGAUUUCUCACUGUUAUUCCCCUCUAAUAGGCAGGUUGCUCACGCGUUACUCACCAGUCCGACCACUAAAGCCAUUUAGUUAUAAAAUUUCAAUCAAGAUAAAAUUCUUCAAUUUCAUUUUAUAACACUUCGUUCACUUGCUAUGUCUUUAGUGUGUCGCCGCCUAGGUCUUUUACUUCCG